UUACAUCCAGAAAAUACUUCUUUGAUUUCCAAUUAGAACAAAAAUUGGUGCAGAACUUUUGCAAUUAAAGGGCUGGAACGGUGUUGUCACAGAAGCAAGUGGUGUCACGGACAUUGUUCUUAGCAGCUAGGAGAUUUGUUUAUUUUGGAAUAUGCAUUCAACGCCGCCACAUAGGACAUUGUUCUUAUCAAUUUCAUUUUCCUUGCUUUGGUUUACAAAAGAGAACCGUGCUUGCUUAUGGAAGGAAACAUAAUAAACUUUGCAUUCAAUUGCAAGCAGCUCACACGCUCAUGAGGACAAAAUGAAAACGGUGCUUACCUUGGAUGUUUAUUUUUUUUAUUAUUAAAGGCAACGUUGAUUCAAUGGAGACGCACAUGGUUUGCAUCAGGAAGGUUUCUUUAAUCCUUUUUCUUUUUUUUAUUAUUCAAAUUUGCACCGAGAUGCUUAAUAUUAUGUACUCUGGAAAUGAAUUUAGCUUGGAAGCAACAUGCUCAUUUUAUUUCAGCUUAUUGUUCACGCAUUUCUUUUAGUACUUUUUCAGUAUAAAUGUGCAAUCCAUUUUAUUCAUGCUGCAUUGGGUUUCAAGGGGUGACGCUUUGCAAUUCAAUAGUGUUAGAUGAGUUUUCAGAUUUCUCUAGUACAUUUAAACUAGUUCACACAUCUUGCUUUAGGACUGUUCAAUUUAUUGUUCCUAUGCUGUCUGUUAUGUUUGGUUUAUCGUUUCUGUUCGGUCUUCAUGCUUUGUUCAGUUAUUUUAAUGUUUUCAAUUAUGUUUGGUUGUAUUUAAUUUUCAGUUUUAUUUGAAUUUAAUUCCUGUCUCAAACACCUUCAACCCCCCCCCUUUUCGUGUCUGACCUAAUUCUCGAAUCACAAUUUGGUCCUUGAGAGACGACCUAGGAGUCACAUUCCUAGCUAUACUGCAUUUCUAAUAUGCAAUUAAAUUUGUAUGGGCCGCGACACUCAUCACGCCUCUGCCACCUCCCUAAAAUGCAGUUAAAAUUGAAUCAACGCCUAUCCAGAAAAGACGAAAUGCAAGUGUUGCACUAUCUCCAUGGUGCAAUUAAAAUGAAAAUGUCAAUCAACGUGUACGUAGUUUCCAACUAUCAAGCAACGUCACCCUCCAUUCUAGCACAGUGUGUUGUUUUCUCCCAUGAAUAAUAAUGUGUGAUAAGGGAUAUCCCCCAUGGGUGGCGGC
rnacentral:lncRNA from 1 species